UCACGAGUCACGACUCACAGCAACUGAAAACUAAAGAAACCGCUGGCGGACGCCCACCAAACCAAAAAAAAAAACAAAAAACAAAAAACCAAAAAACCCCACGCCUUUCCUCGCCGGCGAAGGAGAAGCCGCAGCGCUGCUCCCACGCCCCCUAGGAGCGCGUGCCUCCAUUCCAUGUGCGCCCGCCCACCGGAGGUGCGUCCCCAACCACCCCUUCUUCCUGCGUUUCCCGGGCGGCGGAGAGUCGGGGCUAGGGUUUUGGCCGGCCUCGCCGUCCCGGGUGGACCCCCCAGACACGAAAUCCGCUUAGUGCUUGCGCCGGCGCCCGCGGCCUCCUAUUAGGGUUUUACUUUAACCCCAUUUUGGUCUUGGGAUCGCCAGCGCGCGCCUGUCUGCCGUUCUCCUGUUUCCGCCUGCGCUGAGCGUGAAUGGUUGUAAUAAGCCAUGGCUGGAGGCUGCCUGGGUUCGGGAGCCUUGGUUACUGGAACAGAUAGUCUUCUUGCAAACCAAUCUCCGGCUCAAUUCAUUAGUCCAUGCGAUAUUUGGUUGCUGGGUACGAUUUCGGUGGUCCGGAUCAUCUGUCACAGCAAAGGUGCAAAGAGUGGCAAUUAAUUACAAUGGCAUUGCCAUACAUUUGUGUUAGUCAUGCAUAAAACGUAUUGGCUAUCGGCUCUGGACUUCUAAGGAUAACCUUUGAUCAUUUCGUUUGCUGGACAUUGGAUCAACUGGUGCUGUUAUACAUAGAAAGGAUUUCAUUUUAAAUUCUCAUCUAUAUUUGGUGGUGCCAUAAUCAUUUUUCCACUAGCGUUUGGCAAUAAUGUCGGAGAGCGAGUUAGCAGUAAUAAAACCAGAGGUGUUGAAGACAUAUAUCUGGCUUCAGUGCUUUGAUGGUUCCAUACAACAAGUGGAGGAGGAGGUUGCAAUGUUCUGCCCCAUGAUAUGUCAGGAAAUUGUGAAAAAUGGCACAGGGUCAUCAAAAAAUCAUGCUAUUGCUCUCCCGGAAAGAGUUAAUCCAGCCAAUUUGAGUUUGAUUCUUGACUACUGUCGAUUUCAUCAGAUCACUGGGCGUUCAAACAUGGAGCGGAAGUCCUUUGAUGAAAAGUUUGUUAGGAUAGAAACAGAAAGACUCUGCGAAUUGACUUCUGCAGCCGACAGUCUACAGUUAAAGCCACUUGUUGAUCUUACUGGCCGAGCGCUUGCUCGAAUCAUUGAAGGAAAGACACCUGAGGAAAUUCGUGACAUUUUCCAUUUACCAGAUGAUUUAACAGAGGAAGAGAAAUUGGAGCCCCUAAAAAAUAUAAAUGAUGGUCCUGCUAGGAUUCGCCUACUGAACCGGUUGUAUGCCAAGAAGCGGAAAGAGCUCCAGGAGCGCCAUAAGCUGAAGGAUGUUCAAGUACAGAAAGAGCAAAAAGAUGAGAGAUCUUUGGAUGAGUUACUUAGUUUUAUUAAUGGGGAUGGAGGUUCAGGAGGCAGGAAAGCUACCAAGAGUAAGAAAAAGAAUAAAAGGAAGGAUCAUGUUGAGAACCCCCCAAAAGCUGACUCUGAGCCUGUAAAUGCGGAAGGAGCUGCUUGUGUGGUUCCGUGCAAAGUCGAUAGAAGUAAUGUUUCUAGACUUCCAUGCCAGAAUCCAGAUAUGCAAGAUGAUGCCGAGUACCCUUUUGAAGAUGCUGACCUCGAUGAUGGACUUGAUCCUGCAAUGAAAGAAGAGCUUGAUAGGUUUGUUUUUAACAUGCAGAGAAGUUGAGGCCUUUGCGAAGAGGUUGGAUUCAGUUUGGAAGGAGUCACAUAUUGGUGGUAAUGGUUCUGCACGGAGAUUUCCUGGGUUUAAUCACAUGUGAGUGUUAAGCUGGUAGGAUCAGAAGGCAGAAGCAGAGGAGAUUUGUGGACAUACAGCCUGGAAGAGAGUAAAAAUACCAAACAGUCGACUUGCUCCUGUGUGUUUGAUAAGGGCAUGUACAACCCUGAAAUCAUGGAUCGGUUUUGCGAAGUACAAAAGACAUGUUAAGAGACUGUAUACCCUGAGCCUUUGGAUCAUAAAUGUAAGUAAGAGGCAAUGUGUGUAGAAUUGUGUAGAGACAGUCUCUUCGCGGAAAGAGAGCCUGUCUAUUGUAUUUUUUUCAAUUAACCCUCAAGAGACUUCAUAUUGAAAGAGGUUAUACAUGUCAGAGCCAAGCAUGCAGACAUGCUAUUUUGUUGGGGAGGAGGCUGCCUAGUUGGGAUGAAGCUUAGCAUGGUUCAAGGAAAAAGUGUAGUUUUUUUUCUUUGGAAAGGGAGGAUUAGAGGUCUGUCUUGUCUGUGUUGCCAGGGAGGAGGCUGCCUAGUUGGGAUGAAGCUUAUAAUGCAGUAUAUAGUGUAAAACAGUGUUUUGAAUGACUAUAUGGCUGAACUGUUGGACACAGUUUGUAUCAAUGAAAUUUCGUUGAUUCACUGUA